CUCUCUCAAAUGCCUUUCAUCUCUUCAAAUCCCUAAACCCUAGCUACAGCUCAUCUGCCGGUAAUUACAACUCGUCUACAGGUAAAAUCACUAGCGUCAGCCUCCAAAAUUCAUCUCCCAGCAUUUCCCUCGUUUACAUUUCUUAUGCUCCAGCUUCAUAACUGAUGCAAGUGUUAUUGCACUAUAUGGAUUAAGUAAGCGUGCCUUUGGAGGGAUGAGAAGACUUUCAACAUACUACAGGAAUAUUUAUGUUUUCUUGAAACGGUACAUUUUACUCAUAAGAGGUGCGGGUUUGCAUUCUUUACCUUUUAUAUUUCUGAUAGCGUGAUUGUCAAAUUCUAUUCCACAAAGGGAGAGUGCGUGAGAAAGUGUUGCCAAGAUAAAAGUUUAUGUGGUAUUAAGGUCAAUAAUGUUGUAAAGAAUAAUCCAAAAGAUUUACAUGGAGACUCAUGAUACUUUCUUCUACUUAAUUAAUAUUGAUGACAUUUGUGUGGUAUUCUAGAUUAAAAUAUAAUUUUGUAAUGUUGGACAUAUUUGUAUUUCACUUUUGAGUGAUCUUCUACAUUUCUAAAUUCAUUCUAGUAUAUGCCUUAACAGAAGAAUGAGAAUAUACUCUUAUGUUGUUAUCUUUGUGCUAGCAUUAAUUGCUUAUAGAGACUGCUCCUAAUAGUCAUUCUUCAAUUUUUUUCACGUCAUUGCAGUGAGAUCUAAUUACUAAGCUUAUGAAAUUCCUUUGAGCCUGGCUAAUAUGAACGGAAAUCAUUUAUUUUCUCUUGUGUCCAGUGUAAAUUUGUGUGUGUACUGAUACAUAUUAUCUUGUCACAAUCUUUACUUUUGCUCUUGAACCAGGUAAAUUCUAACAAUGUAAUGACACCUACAUAAGAUAUGACACAACUAGUUUGAUGCGGGCAAGCAGAACAACCAUUAGGAUGUCACAGGAGGCUCGAAUGUUGACGUAGCUGUUGAAACUUUGGGAAAUCCAAAAACAUUCGUGCAAUGCGUACAGAGUGUUCGUAAUGGAGACAAUGCUGCAAUGAUUUGACUUAAACUAUCUGGUGCUAAGGUGGAUGUGCAUAUAAACCACUUAGUGCGACGACAGUUUCUGGAGACUUAAAGCAUACAAAGCGAAGAUGCAAGAUUUGAAGAAUCCAUACAACUUGCCAGUAGAUUAUCAUUUUGCUAAAUUGUGUUAGGAGAAAGCUUAUCUUAUUCUCUAAGUAUGAUACAUAUUUUUGGCUGAGCGGUUCUGUAAAAUGUAGUGACUACAGUGCUACUUUGUUUCCUUUUUUUGUAAUUAAUACAAAAUAUAAAUGAAAGCAGAUAUUAUUUAUAAUUUUGUUUA